ACACCUCAACUCUCAUGGCUUGCUGUGAUGAGCUUGGACUUUGGGGGUCUUGUUGGCCUGUGAGCCAGCUCCUCUUAAAUGAAUUAGCUUGCCAGUGUUUGGUGGCAUCACAGGUGUGAUAACUAUCUAUGCUUGUGGUUUCCCAUCAGAUAACCUUCAGUGAUGGAGGUUCGCUGGGGCUCAUAAACGUCUCUCCUCAGUGAAGACAGCUCUUUGAAC
rnacentral:misc_RNA from 1 species